GACGAACGCUGGCGGCGUGCUUAACACAUGCAAGUCGAGCGGUAAGGCCCUUUCGGGGGGUACACGAGCGGCGAACGGGUGAGUAACACGUGGGUGACCUGCCUCUAGCUCUGGGAUAAGCCUGGGAAGCUGGGUCUAAUACCGGAUAUGACCUCGCGGUGCAUGUUGCGGGGUGGAAAGCCUUGUGCGGCUAGGGAUGGGCCCGCGGCCUAUCAGCUUGUUGGUGGGGUGANGGCCUACCAAGGCGACGACGGGUAGCCGGCCUGAGAGGGCGACCGGCCACACUGGGACUGAGACACGGCCCAGACUCCUACGGGAGGCAGCAGUGGGGAAUCUUGCGCAAUGGGCGAAAAGCCUGACGCAGCGACGCCGCGUGAGGGAUGACGG
rnacentral:rRNA from 1 species